UACGAAGGGGGCUAGCGUUGUUCGGAAUUACUGGGCGUAAAGCGCACGUAGGCGGGUUGUUAAGUCAGGGGUGAAAUCCUGGAGCUCAACUCCAGAACUGCCUUUGAUACUGGCAACCUAGAGACUGGAAGAGGUUAGUGGAAUUCCCAGUGUAGAGGUGAAAUUCGUAGAUAUUGGGAAGAACACCAGUGGCGAAGGCGGCUAACUGGCCCGGUACUGACGCUGAGGUGCGAAAGCGUGGGGAGCAAACAGG
rnacentral:rRNA from 1 species